rnacentral:ncRNA from 1 species
AUUUUCAGGUAAUUUAAAAGAUUAAAAUUUAUUAAUAAAUGAAAUAUUUAAUUAUAUUAAAAUUGUUAAAUAUGAUUUGUAAAGAAAAAGAUAGGGGGAUUAAAAAGGUUAAUUAAAGUUAAAUUUAGCAAUUUAAGAGUAGAUUUUAAAAUUAGUGCCAGCAAUAGCGGUUAAACUAAUGUCUAAAUAAAUUUAAAUUAAAGAUAAAAUAAAUAUAAACAGUUAUAAGUUAAAUAUAGUUUGGAAGGUUAAAUUUUAAAUUAUAUAAAAUUAUAAUAUAGAUAAUAAUUUUAAAAGUUAAGAGAAAAACUAGGAUUAGAUACCCUAUUAUUUUAACAAUUAAAAGUCUUAGAAAUUAAAUGUUUAAAUCAUUAAAUUAAAAGAUUUGGCGGCAUAUUAUUCCAAAUAGGGGAAUUUGUUUUUUAAUAGAUGAUACACGUGAGGAUAAACUAAUCUUAUUUUUAAGUACGGUUGUUUAAACUAUAUUCAUAAAUUAAUAAUGGUUUAAAAAUUUAAUAUAAUUAAAAUUCAAAUAGAUCUUUAGAAUAGAUUAGAAAGAAUUAGUUACAAUAAAUUAGAUUUAAAUAAAUAAAUGGAUAAUUUUUUUUAAAAAUUUAAAAAUUUGAAGGUGGAUUUAAACGUAAAUCUAUAUAAUUUUAUAGGUUGAAUAGGUUUUAAUAUGUGUACAUAUUGCUCGUCAAUUUCAAUAGUAUUGGGGUAAGUCGAAACAAAGUAAAGAUAUUGGAAAAUGUUUUUAGUGU